rnacentral:rRNA from 1 species
GUGGGGAAUCUUGCGCAAUGGGCGAAAGCCUGACGCAGCCAUGCCGCGUGAAUGAUGAAGGUCUUAGGAUUGUAAAAUUCUUUCACCGGGGACGAUAAUGACGGUACCCGGAGAAGAAGCCCCGGCUAACUUCGUGCCAGCAGCCGCGGUAAUACGAAGGGGGCUAGCGUUGCUCGGAAUUACUGGGCGUAAAGGGCGCGUAGGCGGACAGUUUAGUCAGAGGUGAAAGCCCAGGGCUCAACCUUGGAAUUGCCUUUGAUACUGGCUGUCUUGAGUUUGGGAGAGGUGAGUGAAACUCCGAGUGUAGAGGUGAAAUUCGUAGAUAUUCGGAAGAACACCAGUGGCGAAGGCGACUCACUGGCCCAAUACUGACGCUGAGGCGCGAAAGCGUGGGGAGCAAACAGGAUUAGAUACCCUUGUAGUCC